rnacentral:rRNA from 1 species
GCCAGCAGCUAGCUAGCAACUCUCACAUGGUCGCCCACUGAAGCUAAGCAGGGCUGCGCCGGGUCAGUACCUGGAUGGGAGACCAAAUGGGAAAGCUAGGUUGCUGCCGGAA